GGCGAAAGCCGUAACCGAUGGACAGCUGGUUAGUAUUCCAGCACCACUAACAGGGCGUUUUAAGGUAGAGGAGUGACCCAGGAAGGUAGGCGGGGCGUGCCCAUUGGACAUGGUGCGUCCCUGGUCCGUAGGCGUCUGGGGGGAGGUAAAUCCAUCCCCAGGUUAAGCGGAGGGAUUGGGGCGAGGAGGAGACUUUUGUCAAAUCCGAGUUCGCUGAGCCUACACUGGCAAGAAAAGCUUCGUUGCUAGCACUGUUGGUGCCCGUACCGCAAACCGACUCUGGUGGGCGGGGGUAAGUACCCUUAGGUGAUCGAGAUAACCCUCGUUAAGGAACUCGGCAAAAUAGCUCCGUACCUAUGGUAUAAGGAGUGCCUGCAGUUUUUACGAGGAGUAGGGACUGCAGGUCGCAGUGACUAGGGGGUCCCGACUGUUUAAUAAAAACACAGGUGGUCGCUAGUCCGAAAGGAUGUGUAUGGCCUCUGUAUCCUGGCCAGUGGCGGUACCUAAAACCUGAGUUCAAUUGGGCUAAGGGCCGCUAAACGCCGGGAGCAACUCUGACUCUCUUAAGGUAGCCAAAUGCCUUGUCGGGUAAGUUCCGACGUGCAUGAAUGGAACAACGAGAGCCCCACUGUCCCCGCCUACAACCCGGUGAAGCUACAUAAGGUGGACGAACAGUCCAUCAUCUUCCAUCGGGGAGAGAAGACCCCGUGGAGUUUUACUGCAGCUUGUGCUUGCGGUAUAGUUGACAUUGCAUAGUGUAUCUGGUAGCCAUGCUUAACAUCCUCCGGGGUGUUAAGAAGCGCCGUUGUAACACCAGACCUUGUUUGCAGUAUCGCUUAUCAGGUGAAGACCUGAGACACGUGCAGGUGGGCAGUUCGGCUGGGGCGGCACCCCUUUGAAAAGAUAUCAAAGGGGCCCAAAGUUCAGCUCAAACGGGUCAGAAAUCCGUUGAAGAGGGCAAAGCCAAAAGCUGGAUUGACUGGAUCUCCAAACGCACGGGAUCCAGAGACGAAAGUCGGGCUUAGCGAUCCUUCGUGUGCCCACUAUUGGGGCCCGGAGGUGACAGAAAAAUUACCCCAGGGAUAACAGGCUCGUCGCGGGCGAGAGCUCCUAUCGACCCCGCGGUUUGGUACCUCGAUGUCGGCUUUUCCUAUCCUGGUCCUGCAGCAGGGGCCAAGGGUGAGGCUGCUCGCCUAUUAAAAGGGAACAUGAGCUGGUUAGACCGUCGUGAGACAGGUCGGUCCCUAUCUGCUGCGGGCGGAGGAUACUUGUGGGGCUUUCUCCCUAGUACGAGAGGACUGGGAGGGACGCACCGCUGAUCUGCCAGUUGUGACGCUCGUCGCAUCGCUGGGUAGUCACGUGCGGAAUGGAUAAACGCUGAAGGCAUAUAAGCGUGAAACCCUCCCCGAGAUUAGGCUUCCUGCCCUUCGGGGCGAAGGCUCCUGGAAGACGACCAGGUCGAUAGGCCGGGUGUGUAAGGCCAGCAAUGGCUUUAGCUGACCGGUACUAACCGCCGAC
rnacentral:rRNA from 1 species